rnacentral:lncRNA from 1 species
CCUCUCUCCACGUCCACGGCGCCGAGUCUCGCCACGGUGGCGCAGGCGCCAGGGAGGUUCCCCGGCUUUGCCGCGCGGAGGAAGUCCCGGUUACGCAGAGCGCGCUGGGGCAGGGCUGACCUUCCCCUUUCUCUACUUCACUGGCCUCCUCCAGACGUGGUGGUUGCGCCCUUUCGGCCUCGCUUUCCGUUUUUUGGCUUCAUCCCCUAGAUCUGCAAACAGUUCCUCGUGUUUCUUCCGUUAGCCGGGAAACGCGAACUGCAGCGUUUGGGACCCGGGUUUGCGCGUGUGGAAAGCAAAAGGGGUUACUCUGCUGGAGUUCGACAUUGCAAAUAAAGGUCUUUAUCCCCGGCGGUUCUACAAAAUUAGUUCUGCAGGGAUUCUGGUUGAAAGAAGCGUUAAAGUGGGCCUUGUAGGAGUCAGCAAUAAUCCAAUUUUACAUGGGUGCAGGUGGCUGCCUGUGUCUAGCGCUUUCACACAUCUCAUAUCUUCAUCCACGCCGUGGGUAUUUUUUUUCCACGGUGUGUUUCUGUUGCUGCCUCCAGUAUAUUGCUUAAUCAUCCUACCUGGUAAUUAUUUAUGCAUUUUUCUCCUACUCUCGACUCAGCUCCUAGGGAAUAAAAACACAUUAACUUAUCUUUGUGCCCACAGCACCCACCAAGUAUUUCCAUCACGUAAUACUGCCUCUAGAAAGGCAGGAGGAGAAGCAGUCACGCUAAGGAUCUAGGCAAGCCAGAUCUUUUGUCCGGUUUUAGGAGGUGGCCAGCCCUUACUUAUUCCACAAGUGUUUUUCCAGAAACUCAGACUUGAUAUUGCCUCAAGUCCAAGGCAGUGUGCUUCCCCCACUCACAUAUCACUAAUAGUAGCUAACAUUUGUUCAGAUCCCUGUAUGUACUCUGCCACUGUUUUAAAUGUUACACCCGGGUUACCUCAUUUAAUCCUUACAACUGCCCUGUGAGGUAGGUACUAUUAUUAUCUCUACUUUGUAGAUGGGAUUCACCGAGGCACAGACGGUUAAAAAACCUAGCCCAAAUAACACAAAUAAACAGCAGAGCAUGCAGUGCUAGAGUCUGCAUUCUUAACAAUUGCUAUAUUCUCCCUCUCCGUGAAUGUGGGCUGAGAUGCUGAAACAGGCAUGUGCUGUGGGGGAGAAAAAGCUUUGUCCAACCAAGUGCUUUCUAAUGUCCAGAUGACAUAGAGCUAGGAUUUCCUAAUGUCUUUUUUCCCCUAUUUUUCUCUCCAUUUCAGGGUUGAGUUUGUGCAUCGAUUGUGAACACAACAGGCAGCAGGCUAUAAUGGUGGUCCUGGCUGGAGUAGUUUUCACAGACUUCAGUAAUCUGUGGAGAUGAACGGGCAGUUCUCUGUAGUUUUCACAGAUCACUGCCAGUUCGUUUUGAGGCCUUCAGGAGUGAAGACCUGGCUCAUCAUCACUCUUUGUUGUUUUGUUAAAUUUAUUUACACCCUACUUUAUUCCAGAGGAAAGGAUUUAACGUAGUUUACAUAAAUGUGUACAUCAGGGUAAAUUAAAAAUAAGUACAGAGAAAAAUAGGACAAAAGAAAACCGUGAGUGUGAAAGAUAAGAUUAAGCCAGCAGUUUUGUAUGCAAAAUGCAUGGUGUAAGGUCCUAUUGGUUUGCUGGAGGUAGGCCACACAUAUGACUCUCAGUUUUCUAGCAACCAAGAAAAAGAUCAGUUGCAAUCGGAGUAGGUGUUUUGGCUAAGCUGGAACUAGGACUUGAAUAUAGCAGCUUGUAGAGUUAUACCACUUGCCCAAAUCUCUUCCAUGAGCCUCUUUAAGUGUAACAGAAUGCCUGGGAGCACGUAAAUGCUCCUACUUAGAUGCCUACUUAGCCUCUAAUUUUCAUGGGGCCCAUGAAUCCCAUGAAAAAGAACUUUGAACCCUGUCCACAAUUAGAGUUCAGGUAUACGCAGACAUGUUUAAAGACAAGGGACACCCAAAGGAAAGAUUGCACAGAGAGAAAGUGAGCAUCCGAGAGAAAAUCACCACAAGUGAGGCAGAGGGAGGCCGGUCUCAGCAGAGUUUUGGAGGUCGUGAGAAGAAGAGGUAGGAGAUAGGAGAGUGGUUCCGAGUACUUGCCUGCUGAUGUUACCUUCUCCACCCCCACCAGGUUUUCCAGUGCCUGGAGUCUUGGGCAGGAAUGGGCCACUGUAAGAAAGAGCUUUAUCACUAGGGCCUCAGCCAACUUUUCUGUGGGAUAUCCCUCCAAAAUAAUUAAGAGUUCAGAAUGCUUCAGAUUUUGAAGUGAAACUGGUACAUAUAUUAAGUGUUACUUAAUAACCCGAUAGUUUCUAGGGCAGCUCACCAUAAUCCCAAGUAUUAGCCACCACCCUCACCCCCUUCAGAGUAAAAUGUGUUUCCUGAAGGAAGUUGGGAAAAUGAAGAAAAAAAAUACAAAAAUCACCUAUAAUCUUACCAGUCAUAGAUGGCAGUUUUCCUGUCUUAUUUCUGAAUAAUGGUUGUUAAACAUUUGCCAGCACACCAUAAGGCUUAGGGAGGCAUCUGGGUCAUGCAUGUUAAUAUCCUUGGGUAAUUCCAGAAAUCUCUAUGAAGGGAAACUCCUGUUAUUUAUCUAGACUUCCUGAUUGCAAGGGGUUUGGGCAUCAUGAUUUAGGGGUCUUAAUAAAAUUAUUAUUUUAUUUUUACUAAUAGAUAAUGUCUGUGCCUAUCAGAUAAAGGCAAACCAGUGCUCAGAGGAACCCAACCAUCUCUGAAUUGAGACCAGAGAGCUGUCUCUAUGGAUAGUCCUUAGAGAAGGCAUUUCGGAACACAGUAAACAGCAGCCUGGUGACUCCGAUUACAGGGCCAGUUGCCUUUGUUACAAUAAAAGCAAGUCAUCUACACAGAUGAGCAGAUUCAUGUAUGACCAGAAUGUAAACCAGGAUCACAGAGCAGCCGGAGAGGUGGUGACAGAACCAUCGAUGGAACCCUGGGCUCCAGGUUCUGACUCCUAUUUUCACUCACUAAUUUUUUUUUUUUGAGAUGGAGUCUUGCUCUGUCGCCAGGCUGGAGUAGAGUGGCAC